GACGAACCGUGCGAACGUUGUUCGGAAUAACUGGGCUUAAAGGGCGCGUAGGCGGGCUGCCAAGUUCGGGGUGAAAUCCUCCCGCUUAACGGGAGAACUGCCCCGAAUACUGGCGGUCUCGAGGGAGGUAGGGGCGUGCGGAACUAUGGGUGGAGCGGUGAAAUGCGUUGAUAUCCAUAGGAACUCCGGUGGCGAAGGCGGCACGCUGGACCUCUUCUGACGCUGAGGCGCGAAAGCUAGGGGAGCAAACAGG
rnacentral:rRNA from 1 species